AGUGAACGCUGGCGGUAGGCCUAACACAUGCAAGUCGAACGGCAGCACAGGAGAGCUUGCUCUCUGGGUGGCGAGUGGCGGACGGGUGAGGAAUGCAUCGGAAUCUACUCUUUCGUGGGGGAUAACGUAGGGAAACUUACGCUAAUACCGCAUACGACCUACGGGUGAAAGCCGGGGACCUUCGGGCCUGGCGCGAAAGAAUGAGCCGAUGCCCGAUUAGCUAGUUGGCGGGGUAAGAGCCCACCAAGGCGACGAUCGGUAGCUGGUCUGAGAGGAUGAUCAGCCACACUGGAACUGAGACACGGUCCAGACUCCUACGGGAGGCAGCAGUGGGGAAUAUUGGACAAUGGGCGCAAGCCUGAUCCAGCCAUACCGCGUGGGUGAAGAAGGCCUUCGGGUUGUAAAGCCCUUUUGUUGGGAAAGAAAAGCAGUCGGUUAAUACCCGAUUGUUCUGACGGUACCCAAAGAAUAAG
rnacentral:rRNA from 1 species